UUGCUGUCUUUGGCAGCACUUCCACUAAAACUGGAACCAUGCAGAGGUCAGCAUGGCCCCUGCAGAAGGAUGACGGCAAAUCUGUGAAGCGUUUUAUAUUUGU
rnacentral:snRNA from 1 species